rnacentral:rRNA from 1 species
UACGGAGGGAGCUAGCGUUGUUCGGAAUUACUGGGCGUAAAGCGCACGUAGGCGGCUAUUCAAGUCGGGGGUGAAAGCCCGGGGCUCAACCCCGGAACUGCCCUCGAAACUAGAUAGCUAGAAUCUUGGAGAGGCGAGUGGAAUUCCGAGUGUAGAGGUGAAAUUCGUAGAUAUUCGCAAGAACACCAGUGGCGAAGGCGGCUCACUGGCCCGGUACUGACGCUGAGGUGCGAAAGCGUGGGGAGCAAACAGG